CAGUGGGGAAUAUUGCACAAUGGGCGCAAGCCUGAUGCAGCCAUGCCGCGUGUAUGAAGAAGGCCUUCGGGUUGUAAAGUACUUUCAGCAGUGAGGAAGGCAGGUACGUUAAUAGCGUGCUUGUUUGACGUUACCUACAGAAGAAGCACCGGCUAACUCCGUGCCAGCAGCCGCGGUAAUACGGAGGGUGCGAGCGUUAAUCGGAAUUACUGGGCGUAAAGCGCAUGCAGGCGGCCUGUUAAGUCAGAUGUGAAAGCCCGGGGCUUAACCUCGGAAUUGCAUUUGAAACUGGCAGGCUAGAGUCUUGUAGAGGGGGUAGAAUUUCAGGUGUAGCGGUGAAAUGCGUAGAGAUCUGAAGGAAUACCAGUGGCGAAGGCGGCCCCCUGGACAAAGACUGACGCUCAGAUGCGAAAGCGUGGGGAGCAAACAGGAUUAGAUACCCUGGUAG
rnacentral:rRNA from 1 species